GUCUAGAGGCUUCGACAAUGCCCGAAAGGGUGAUCGAGCGAUGCCGCGUGCCGGAAGAAGGCCCUCAGGGUUGUAAACGGCUUUUGACGGUGAAGAACCGACAGGAUGCGUCCUGUUUUGACGGUAGCCGUUGAAUAAGCACCGGCUAACUCCGUGCCAGCAGCCGCGGUAAUACGGAGGGGGCUAGCGUUGUUCGGAAUUACUGGGCGUAAAGCGCACGUAGGCGGAUCGGAAAGUUGGGGGUGAAAUCCCGGGGCUCAACCCCGGAAUUGCCUUCAAAACUCCCGGUCUUGAGGUCGAGAGAGGUGAGUGGAAUUCCGAGUGUAGAGGUGAAAUUCGUAGAUAUUCGGAGGCACACCAGUGGCGAAGGCGGCUCACUGGCUCGAUACUGACGCUGAGGUGCGAAAGCGUGGGGAGCAAACAGGAUUAGAAACCCUUGUAGUCC
rnacentral:rRNA from 1 species